rnacentral:rRNA from 1 species
CGCGUAGGCGGUUGUGUGAGUGUGAUGUGAAAGCCCUGGGCUUAACCUAGGAAGUGCAUCGCAAACGACAUAACUGGAGUAUAUGAGAGGGUGGUGGAAUUUCCGGUGUAGCGGUGAAAUGCGUAGAGAUCGGAAGGAACGUCAAUGGCGAAGGCAGCCACCUGGCAUAAUACUGACGCUGAGGCGCGAAGCUGGGAUCAAACA